rnacentral:misc_RNA from 1 species
AAGUCGUAACAAGGUUUCCGUAGGUGAACCUGCGGAGAACGUUAAACCCCCCUGUGAACCUUCAUUGUGCUCCCCCAUUCCGUCAGGGACCUCUGCAUGGAGUGGGCUGCAUUCGUAAGAAUGGCGCGAUCGUUAGAGACCGACACGGCCGGUGACCGGGUCACCGGGCUCACGCCCCCCUAUCACCUUUGCAUGAAAACGGGCCUGCGCUUAAUUGUGCGGCCACCAAACUCGAACAACUGUUAACAAUGGAUAUCUUGGUUCUC